rnacentral:rRNA from 1 species
AGUGAACGCUGGCGGUAGGCCUAACACAUGCAAGUCGAACGGCAGCACAGUAAGAGCUUGCUCUUACGGGUGGCGAGUGGCGGACGGGUGAGGAAUACAUCAGAAUCUACUUUUUCGUGGGGGAUAACGUAGGGAAACUUACGCUAAUACCGCAUACGACCUACGGGUGAAAGCAGGGGAUCUUCGGACCUUGCGCGAUUGAAUGAGCCGAUGUCGGAUUAGCUAGUUGGCGGGGUAAAGGCCCACCAAGGCGACGAUCCGUAGCUGGUCUGAGAGGAUGAUCAGCCACACUGGAACUGAGACGCGGUCCAGACUCCUACGGGAGGCAGCAGUGGGGAAUAUUGGACAAUGGGCGCAAGCCUGAUCCAGCCAUACCGCGUGGGUGAAGAAGGCCUUCGGGUUGUAAAGCCCUUUUGUUGGGAAAGAAAAGCAGCAGGUUAAUACCCCGCUGUUCUGACGGUACCCAAAGAAUAAGCACCGGCUAACUUCGUG